GACGAACGCUGGCGGCGUGCUUAACACAUGCAAGUCGAACGGAAAGGCCCUGCUUUUGUGGGGUGCUCGAGUGGCGAACGGGUGAGUAACACGUGAGUAACCUGCCCUUGACUUUGGGAUAACUUCAGGAAACUGGGGCUAAUACCGGAUAGGAGCUCCUGCUGCAUGGUGGGGGUUGGAAAGUUUCGGCGGUUGGGGAUGGACUCGCGGCUUAUCAGCUUGUUGGUGGGGUAGUGGCUUACCAAGGCUUUGACGGGUAGCCGGCCUGAGAGGGUGACCGGCCACAUUGGGACUGAGAUACGGCCCGGACUCCUACGGGAGGCAGCAGUGGGGAAUAUUGCACAAUGGGCGGAAGCCUGAUGCAGCAACGCCGCGUGCGGGAGGACGGCCUUCGGUUUGUAAACCGCUUUCGCCUGUGACGAAGCGUGAGUGACGGUAAUGGGUAAAGAAGCACCGGCUAACUACGUG
rnacentral:rRNA from 1 species